ACACCAGUCAACAUCUUGAAAAAAGUACUCUAUACUAAGGGAGCAUUUUAAGGCUUUCUACCUAAAACACCAAAGCUGGUGUUUUGUUUCUAUAUCUGUUUUGCUUGUUGCUUUUUUUCUGUUGAACACAGUCUGAAGUGCAAGACUCUUUCAAAUACUUGUUACUGUACUGCAUCUUCCUCUUUCCUCUGUCCCAUGGCUCUAACAUUAUUCCUUGCACAGUAAUGAACAAUGGUUAGAGCACUCCUCCAUGAAGUUGGGCUUUGCCUUCUCAGACAGAGAUGGCCAUGGAAACCACUUAUUGUGUUUGGAAUUUGAUCCAUUCAUUUGUGGCUGCAUAAUCAGCUGAUCCAACUGAAAAAUACCUCACCACAGAAGAGUUCCCUGUUGGAUCAUGUCACUCAUCUUCCUCACCUUGCAAUUGGAUCCCAUGCAAAAGAAGAGCUGGGAAGGAAUUGCUGAGGACUGUAUACCAGCUUCACCAAAUUGGAUCAAGAAAAACAGCAGUGAAGUUUAAAAUCUUCUCAUCAUUGUCACUGACAACAUUUUAAAAUCAGAAGCAGACCAUGCAGUUCAGUCUCUUCGUAUUCUGUAGCAAAACUGACAACAUGCACUGACAGACCAUUUGGUGAGGAUGGACAGCUACGCACUAAGACAUUUACCCAAACCAACAAUAUAUUACUUCUAGGCCACUCAAUAGUCAUCUCAUACUGGUGAAACAAUUGUGCAACUACAUGCAAAUGUUAGUGCAGUGACCCUUUUGUUGUUGUUGUUGUUUUGUUACUUGAUAAGCCAUGUAGAACCCUGAUUUCUAGGUCACUGUUCAUUUGUGAAGCUGUUGUUUGUUUAUCUAACUUAUUAUUUGUUAUUACAUUUUUGACAAGAGUUUAUCCUUUUGAAGCACAGUGCCAGGUUCUGAUGCUUCACUGUGAAACAUUUCCCUGUAGUCUUUUGUUAGGAAAAGAUACAUAGAAACAGUCCCUUGUAAAUGAGUCUGCUAGGGAAGUUCUAAUAUUUUUAAAAAUCUCUCAGUUGAUACACAUCUACAUUAGACAAGCUUAUUUUUUAGAGGAAAACAAAACCAUUGUGUCCAUUGGAAAGAAGGUUCACUGCAGUUCCCAUUCCCUGGAGGAGUAUUAUACUUGGCAUCCCCAUUUAUUUUAGCACGUAUUAGUUUUCUAGCUGCUGCACUGUGAAGAUAAGGUGUAUAAAUCCAGGAAAAUGUCAGUUCAGUAUAUUGUUAACAAGGAGACUGAUAUGAAGACCAAUGGUAGUCUCUGGGAUCAGUCUCAGUGACCUUGAUUUUAACAGUAUUUUCACUGCAGUGUAUUGCAUAUAUCGCUUUUAGAACUGGAAGCUGAGCAGAAAAUAAAAUCAAAAGAAAGGAGAAAGGUUCAGAAUGGAGAAAGUGCCAGCAAACCAUUUAAUCACAGGUUUUGCCUUUGACGGAGCAAGUACAAGAUGUUUUGGAUGGUAUAACAGAUGCUGUAGUGCAUAAGAAUACAAUGAUAUGACUAAGACAAAAUUUAUCCCAGUCACGGGCCACAUGUAGAUAUUCCAAGCUCAAGACUACAGUGAUUUACUCUCCAUCUAUAAGUGUAUUUUGUGUCUUAGUAUUUUGUAAGUGCCCAAAUUGCAUGGCUUACUUAUGGUAUUCUUGUAUAUUUCUUUAAAUAAACAGAAUAUAUG
ensembl:lncRNA